rnacentral:lncRNA from 1 species
AGGAAGGUCCGAGGCUGGGGGAGCAGCCGUUGGCUCUGGUGCCCCUGGGGGUGGGAGCACGAGUGGGCAAGGAUGAUGGUGAGGCAGAGGAGGCGGCCCCGAGGGAGCGCCCGGCUGAGAGGCGGGGGGCCGAGGGGCCCGGGGAGCGGGCGUCACCGAGGGCCCUGGAAGCGGCAGGGCUGGGGGAGAGGAGACGCGUGUGUGGAGCAUGGGGACCCCAGCCCAGCUCCCACUUGCAGACCUGGGCCGCGGGCUGCCGGCCGAGUGGCCGGGGGGCCUGGCUGCCCAGGAGGCGGGCCGGGGCCGCGGCCGGGGGCGCGGAGCGGAGUUAGGGUCGCCAGGCCGAGCCGAGGUGGGACGGACCGACGCAGAGAGGAAGGGAAGCCACCUGGCCUGAAGAUCCUGUCUCUAAGAUCCCAUUCUGAGGCUUCGAGGGUCUGGCUUGAGCAGCACAGACAGGGACGUGUCUAACCGGGAUGACCAUGAGGUCUCAUCGCAGUUUGCCACUAACCAGGUCCACGCUGCUUUUAUGAGCUGUAACACUCACCGCGAAGAUCUGCAGCUUCACUCCUGAGCCCAGCGAGACCACGAGCCCACCGGGAGGAACAAACAACUCCAGACGCGCUGCCUUAAGAGCUGUAACACUUGCCGUGAAGGUCUGCAGCUUCACUCCUGAGCCAGCGAGACCACGAACCCACCAGAAGGAAGAAACUCCGAACACAUCUCAACAUCAGAACGGACAGACUCCAGACGCACCACCUUAAGAGCUGUAACACUCACCGCGAGGUUCCGCGGCUUCAUUCUUGAAGUUCGUGAGCCACACAUCUCCCCACACCAAGCUCCUCCAUACAAGACCUCGGACUGCAUCACGUAAAUGCUUUUUCAGGGGCAAAAUCUAGAGAAUCUGAAACGAGCUAUCAGCUUCCCAGUUUGCACAAUUCAUCAAGAAAUUAUGCGGGGUCACUGGCACAAAUGAUGAGGCAUCUCCUGGAAGCUUAACUUCUUAUCCAUCCCAUCUCUUGGACAGAUGAUGCCAGUUAAUUACUUUGAAUAGAAGACUCACUGGUGGCACCUGCAGCUGCGGCGUUUUCCCCAAGGGGUCUGUCACACGCAGCCCAACUCAACUGGAGUCCUGAGAAGGUGAACAGACCAGGAUGGAUGGCCAGGGAACUCACCAGAAGUCCCCAGGCAUCAGAACAAGGUCGAAGCAUCCUGCCAGGUGCUCACCUUCUAGCACAUUCUUCAAGAGUUACUCUGAGGCAAGCCAGCCGCCAUGUCAUGAGGACACUCAAGCAGCACCAUGGAGAGGUCCGAUGGCGAGGAACAGAGGAUCCCCCUGCCGACAGCCAAUGAGGAACAGGCCUCCUGCCAACAGCCGUGUAAGGGGUCACCUUGGAAGCCAAUGGCCCCUCCCUGGUCAGGCUUUUACAUGACUGCAGUCCUGGCCAACAUCCUGACGGCAACCUCAUGAGAGACCUUGAGCCAGAGCCACCCACCUAAGCUGCUUAUAGGUUCCUGGCCCUCAGAAAUCACAUGAGAUCAUAAAUGUUUGCUCAAUUUGAGAUAUUUGUGAUGUAGCAAUAAAUAACAAACACACUUACCUUUCAGGGUUAUUAUGAGAAUUAAGAGUUAAUACACAUCAAACUACAACCAAACUUGCUGGGACCAGAGGCUCAAGAAAGGGCAGACAGGGCCGGGUGCAGUGGCUCAUGCCUGUAAUCCCAAUACUUUGGGAGGCCGAGGCAGGUGGAUCAUCUGAGGUCAGGAGUUCGAGACCAGCUGGCCAACAUGGUGAAACCCUGUGUCUACUAAAAAUACAAAAAUUAGCCAGGCAUGGUGGCGGACACCUGUAAUCCCAGCUACUCGGGAGGCUGAGGCAGGCCUCACUUGAACCUGAGAGCUGGAGGCUGAAGUGAGCAGAGAUCAUGCCACCGCACUCCAGCCUGGGUGACAUAGCGAGACUCCGUCUCAAAAAAAAAAAAAAAAAAAAAAAAAGAAGAAAGGGCAGACAGAAACCACAGAAGGAGGAGUGGUUAGCUAGGUCCAGGCCAGAUGGGGUCCUGCUCCUGACGUGGAUGGUUCUGGGAGACCAAAUAUGCAAAUAGACAAUGGCCAGACCACAUAUUAAAAUAGAACUCUGCCCCCAAACCUACAGCACCAGCCCAGGAAGCCAACGAACAACCCCUGCAGCAAUCAGCCCCAAAUGGCCAGGACUUGAUGGUAACUGACAGCUUCCCUAAUUUUGUUCCCACUUUCAAUGCAGGACAAACCGGAGAAAGCCAAAUAUGCUCCCCUAACCAAUUACUUAGGAUGCCCCUCUUCUAAUGAGCCCAACUGUAGCUUUCCUGCACCACCAACAGGACGUACCUGAAGCCUUCUCCUUUUUCCGCUAUAAAGCCUUCCCCUCGGCCUGCCUUUGAGUCUCCAUGAAAAGCAAGUGACAGUGGCUGCCUCCCUUACUGUAACAAGCUCUGAAUAAACAGCCUUUGCUUGCUCUC